rnacentral:pre_miRNA from 1 species
CAACUACUCCCUCUGUCCCAAAAUUCUUGUCUUAGAUUUGUCUAGAUACGGAUGUAUUAGAUACAUCCGUAUCUAGACAAAUCUAAGACAAGAAUUUUGGGACGGAGGGAGUACUUU